CGUGGGUGACCUGCCCUGGUGUGGGGGACAACGGCUCGAAAGGGUCGCUAAUCCCGCAUACGCUCGCAAGAGGAAAGACUUCGGUCGCACCAGGAGGGGCCUGCGGCCCAUCAGGUAGUUGGUGUGGUAACGGCGCACCAAGCCAAUGACGGGUACCUGGUCUGAGAGGACGAUCAGGCAGACUGGGACUGAGACACGGCCCAGACUCCUACGGGAGGCAGCAGCAAGGAAUUUUCCGCAAUGGGCGCAAGCCUGACGGAGCAACGCCGCGUGCCGGAAGACGGCCUUCGGGUUGUAAACGGCUUUUGUUGGGGAAGAAACGGACGGUACCCAACGAAUAAGCCCCGGCUAACUCCGUGCCAGCAGCCGCGGUAAGACGGAGGGGGCAAGCGUUGUCCGGACUCACUGGGCGUAAAGCGUGCGUAGGCGGUACGGAGCGUCGCCACUGAAAGCACCCGGCUCAACCGGGUGAGGUGUGGCGAUACGACCGAACUGGAGGCAAGGAGAGGUGUGCAGAAUUCCGGGUGUAGUGGUGAAAUGCGUAGAUAUCCGGAGGAAUGUCGGUGGCGAAGGCGGCACACUGGUCUUGACCUGACGCUGAGGCACGAAGGCGUGGGGAGCAAACCGGAUUAGAUACCCGGGUAGUCCACGCAGUAAACGAUGUCGGCUCGGUGUAUCGUGGUGGCAACACCAUGGUGUGCCCAAGCUCACGCGGUAAGCCGACCGCCUGGGGACUACGAGCGCAAGCUUAAAACUCANAGGAAUGGACGGGGGCCCGCACAAGCAGCGGAGCGUGUGGUUUAAUUCGACGCAACGCGAAGAACCUUCCCCAGGUGUGACAUGUAGUUGCUAGCGCAAGGAAACGUGUGACCUUCGAGGGUGCUGCACAGGUGUUGCAUGGCUGUGGUCAGCUCGUGUCGUGAGAUGUUGGGUUAAGUCCCGCAACGAGCGCAACCCUUGCCGUCAUUUACAAGUGUCUGGCGGGACAGCCCUCGAUAUGUGGGAGGAAGGCGGGGAUGACGUCAAGUCAGCAUGGCCCUUACGCCUGGGGCGACACUCACGCCACAAUGCCGACCACAAUGCGCUGCAACCACGCAAGUGCAAGCUAAUCGCCAAAGAUCGGCUCAGUGCAGAUCGGGG
rnacentral:rRNA from 1 species